AUUGAACGCUGGCGGAAUGCUUUACACAUGCAAGUCGAACGGUAGAGGGGGCAACCCCUUGAGAGUGGCGAACGGGUGAGUAAUAUAUCGGAACGUGCCCAGUCGUGGGGGAUAACGUAGUGAAAAUUACGCUAAUACCGCAUACGAUCUAAGGAUGAAAGCGGGGGAUCGCAAGACCUCGCGCGACUGGAGCGGCCGAUAUCAGAUUAGGUAGUUGGUAGGGUAAAGGCCUACCAAGCCAACGAUCUGUAGCUGGUCUGAGAGGACGACCAGCCACACUGGAACUGAGACACGGUCCAGACUCCUACGGGAGGCAGCAGUGGGGAAUUUUGGACAAUGGGCGAAAGCCUGAUCCAGCCAUUCCGCGUGCAGGAUGAAGGCCCUCGGGUUGUAAACUGCUUUUGUACAGAACGAAAAGGUUUCUAUUAAUACUAGGAGCUCAUGACGGUACUGUAAGAAUAAGCACCGGCUAACUACGUGCCAGCAGCCGCGGUAAUACGUAGGGUGCAAGCGUUAAUCGGAAUUACUGGGCGUAAAGCGUGCGCAGGCGGUUAUAUAAGUCAGAUGUGAAAUCCCCGGGCUCAACCUGGGAACUGCAUUUGAGACUGUAUAGCUAGAGUACGGUAGAGGGGGAUGGAAUUCCGCGUGUAGCAGUGAAAUGCGUAGAUAUGCGGAGGAACACCGAUGGCGAAGGCAAUCCCCUGGACCUGUAC
rnacentral:rRNA from 1 species